AGCGAACGCUGGCGGCAGGCCUAACACAUGCAAGUCGAACGAACCUUUCGGGGUUAGUGGCGGACGGGUGAGUAACACGUGGGAACGUGCCUUUAGGUUCGGAAUAACUCAGGGAAACUUGUGCUAAUACCGAAUGUGCCCUUCGGGGGAAAGAUUUAUCGCCUUUAGAGCGGCCCGCGUCUGAUUAGCUAGUUGGUUGAGGUAAUGGCUCACCAAGGCGACGAUCAGUAGCUGGUCUGAGAGGAUGAUCAGCCACAUUGGGACUGAGACACGGCCCAAACUCCUACGGGAGGCAGCAGUGGGGAAUAUUGCGCAAUGGGCGAAAGCCUGACGCAGCCAUGCCGCGUGAAUGAUGAAGGUCUUAGGAUUGUAAAAUUCUUUCACCGGGGACGAUAAUGACGGUACCCGGAGAAGAAGCCCCGGCUAACUUCGUG
rnacentral:rRNA from 1 species